rnacentral:rRNA from 1 species
UACGGGGGGGGUAAGCGUUGUUCGGAAUUACUGGGCGUAAAGGGCUCGUAGGUGGCCAACUAAGUCAGACGUGAAAUCCCUCAGCUUAACUGGGGAACUGCGUCUGAUACUGGAUGGCUUGAGUUUGGGAGAGGGAUGCGGAAUUCCAGGUGUAGCGGUGAAAUGCGUAGAUAUCUGGAGGAACACCGGUGGCGAAGGCGGCAUCCUGGACCAACACUGACACUGAGGCGCGACAGCGUGGGGAGCGAACUGG